GGGUAGAGUGCCCUGUGCUCUACAGCAGGUCCUGUUGGCCACCCAUCCCAUAUACCACAGUGUGCAUAUGCCAGUCCCAAACCCCCAGUCCAUCCCUCCCCAAAACCUGUCCCCUUUGAUAACCGGGGGUUGGUUUUCAACGUUUGUGAGUUGGUGUCUGUUUGGCAAAUAAGUUCAUUUGCAUUGUUUUUCUUUUAGAUUCCAUUUAUAAGUGAUAUCAUAUGAUGUUUGUCUUUGGAGAUGACAAGGGAGGUUUUCUUGGAGAAUCCAAUUACAAUAGUUGGGAUUCUUGGUUGUAAAUACCUCCGAGGUAGCUUAAGGGAAAAGAAUUACAGGGAUAUAGAUCUUUCUUCUGGAGCUUCAAGGACAAAGGCAUAGUGCAGAUUUGGAAACCAGUCCUUCAUGAAAAUCUCUCCCCCGUCACUCACUGCAUCUUUGCUGUACUUCUCUGCUGGGCACCAAGAACCAUGUUUUUCGACCUCUUCCAUUCAAGAGAUCAGCCCAAACUACAUUCUUGGUCCCACAUCUCUAUUUCCAGGAAAGAGAUUGGUGCAGCCAAGAUAGAGUCUACCCUUGGUCCAAUCAGCUAUGGGAGGUGGGCUGGGUCCUACCCUAUGGUUUGGGUGGUUGAACAGUUUCCAGAGAAAGUUAGACAAGGCAUUCCCUAAGGUGUCCUCUGUACUCAAGAAACAGUAAACCUCUCCCCUUCUCCAUCCCAAUACAUCAAAUAAUUUAGCUUCUGUAGUUGUGGAUGGUGGACAUGGGAUGUUUCAUCCCCACCUAAGGAAGUGGCCUGGCCAUAAAGAGCCCUAUGUCCCCAUACCCUUCCACACUUUGUCAACUUCUAAGCAGCUGACCUAGCUCUUGCACAAACAUGUGAAAACCAUCCCAGCAUCUCCCAUUUCUGAGGAGAACAAAGCUUAUUCACGUGUAGAGGACAGAGUGGAUUGGCUUGAUGAUAAUCUAAACUAGUUAACAAAUUCCACAAUUUAGAUGGAACACAUUCCAAAAUGAACAAAAACAGUAAAACUGACACAAGAUGAAACAGAAGAUAUGAGCAGCUCUAUAGCAGUUAAAGAGAUUAAGUUCGUUACUACAAACCCUUUGACAAAGAACACUACACCCCAAAUAGUUGCACUGGUGAAUCCUAACAAUAUCUAGUUGAACCUACUUCCAGGGUAACUCUCUCUGCUGCAGUGGAUGAAAAGCUAGGCACACAUUUCGCAGACUCCUGGGCAGCUAGGGAUUUGAAUGUACUAUCAUCUGACCAAUCAGAUGCAUGUGUGCAAGACUUAAGUGUAGAACUGAGUGAGGUGGGGAGGGAGGCAGGACACAGGCUUUGCCCACGUGGGUCACAGCAGAUGCAGUGUGGUUCUGGAGCCAGCAAGCAGAGCAGCUAUUUCUCACUUCUGCAGGCAGCUUCCUCAUUGUGGUAGGGGAGAGAACUCACUUGGAGGCCCAGUUCUGCAGUGUGGCUUUGGGAGUCACUUCUGGAAGGUGAACCUGGGGUCGUUUCUUCACUCUUUCCAACAAUUCUGUAAGCCACCUACUACUCUGUGUAAACUCUGUUCUAUACAAAUUAACAAGAGUCAUUGUGACCAGUUCAUAAUCUUUUAGGUCCAGAUCCUGGAGCUGCCUCCUCCAGGAAGAACUCUUGGAUUACUGUUACAGUCCCCUCUCCUCUGAGCUCCUGCAGCCUUGUUCAUCUGGGCUUUUCAUCUGGCAUUUGCUAGCUGCCUGGCAGUGUAGGUUCGCUGAGAUGGUGCCCUCCCUGAGGGCAGGAACUACCACCCAUCCUGGUGCUAUAAGCACAUAGUAAAAGUUAGCAAGUAUGGACAAUUAUAAGGCAUUAUCAGGAGGCAUUCUGAUUGUGACUCAGCAGAUUAAGAACCCAACAUAGUGUCCGUAAGGAAGUGGUCUGAGCCCUGGCCUCACUCUGUGUGUUAAGGAUCUGGCGAAGGUAGCAGAUGCGGCUCAGAUCUGGUGUUGCCGUGGCUGUGGUGUGGGCUAGCAGCUGUAGUUCUGAUUCAACCCCUAGCCUGGGAAUUUCCAUGUGCCGCUGGUGCAGCCCUAAAAAGAAAGGAAAAAAGUUGUUAUCAGUUUACAUCCUAAAUGCAAGACACACCUAUUAUGGGCUUUUAUUAGCAGCCACCAAAGGGGACACACAUAUGCUGAGCCCGGGCCCCACAGGACAGUUAUUAGGGGUCAGUGUAGCUCUCUGCUGCCAGCUGCUGCAGAGCCCCAAUGUCCCAGAGAGAACCUGAAAUCAAGGAUGCUGACAACCUUGGGCUCCCAGAGAGGGUUUCAGCUCCUGUUCUUGAGGAAAUCACCAAGUUUUUUAGAUGGGGAAACUGAGGUCCAGGGAACAAGAAGUGACACAGCCAAAGUCAUAGACCCCAAAUCUCCAGCCCCCAGCCUGGUGCUCUUAUAUCUUUAAACACUGUCUCCCUGGAAACUCUGGGGUUUUUUUCCCCAAGAAUGGAAAUUCUUGCCAGAACAGUUACAAUGCCACCACAAGCCAAACAGAAAGUAAAAAGUGUUUUCCAGGGAUGGUGGCUGAGCAGUGACACCAAACUUUGGAACUUCUGGGGAAAUAUUAUUUCUUGACCUGGAUCUUGAAGCUAAAGAGAAAUUUUUGUGAAAUUCACUGAAUUGUGCCCUCAUUUGUGUUUGUUUUUCAACUAUGCUGUAUUUCAAUUCUAAAACAAAACAAAACAAAACAAAAAAGUUAAAAAAAAUAUGCUUCCCUAAGAUCUUCACGAAGGGGGGACACAGCCUGAGUGAUGGACGAGACGCUGAACUGAGGGGCAGGAACUUAGGUUCUAGACCAGCUCAUAGCCUCAGUGUCCACCGCCUUCUUUCUGAAAGAGGAAAUCGUACUUCUGCCAAAUCCCUAUGAUCAUGGAUGUGAGCGAAUUUGAAGAUGAUUGGGUCUGUGAGUUCUGUGCGUCCCAUGCCAGGGCUUGCAAUUCUGCUUUUGUGAAUUACUCUGGGCAAGCCGAGUGGGAGGGGCCGUGGCGCUGGUUCACAAAGGAAUGGGUGAUCCAGCCCCCCCAGAAGCAAAUUAGACCUGGGUCUGGCCCUGGCCUUCAAAGUCCUGUUUUGGGCCCCGGGGGUGGCAAAUCAAGACAAAAAUCAAACAAAUGUGAUUUCACAGGGGCAGCCAGUAGGGGGCGUGCUCUGUGGAUGCUGACUGCUGCACCCGGCUGGCUCAUGCACUGGCCUCAUUCUCCCUCCAGCUGCAGUGGGUGAUGCAGGACUUUGCUCCCCACCUCCUACCAGAAAGUGGGCCAGCCCCUGCCCCCUUCAUGACAGCUGCUUCUAGAAGGUGGGAGCCGGGGAACCUUUGCUCCAGGAUGUCAGGACCGGCGGGCGGCAGAGGAGAUGUCUCGGGCUCUCCAGGCCAGCAGGCCAGUGGCGGGGGCGGGGCAGGGGUUGUCUGAAGCCGAAUUAAAAGUCUCUAGCAGUUUAGGUCUUCAUCUCUCAUGGCACUGGUGCCUAUGAAAUUGUGAUAUAUGGUCCAGAUUAAGAGCUAAAAGAAACAUUAUGACUCUGGGGAGGGCGGGCACCUGCUGCUGCUGAGGCCGCAGGUGGGCUGAUGGUGUGGAGAGGUCCUUUCCAAAUCCAUGGGUUCUGCAGUUCCCCCCCCCCCAAGCAGCCCCCCUCUGGCUCUGUGCCUUUCAUCCUUCUCAACGUCUCCUAAUGACUCCUUUACUUACGUGUUGCAGCUGUCAUUUCUUGAAUGUCCUCACCGCUCUCCCAGCCUGCUCCCUCCUGCGGCUGCAGCACCCAGGACUCUGACCAGCAGGAGGUGGGACUCAAGGACUCCAGACCCAGCCCACAUGCGGGCCGGGCCAGGCCAGGGCAUCUGGAUGAUGCUGAAGAAUGAGAGGUAGUAGAUCAGCGCCCAUCAUCCUCCCCCCUUGGGUGAGAGACCACUUCCCAGAGUCCCCUUGGAGGGGACCCCAUGUCCACAGUCACCCGCCCCUCACUUUCUCAUGUGGCUUCUCUCCUCUUUCCUAUUUCGCUUCCCCAGGCCCCUGCCAGGGCUCCUGUCCCUCCUAAACACCGGGUUAGGGCUCGAUCCCUGGCCGCAGGGUCUCUAGCUCCUGCCAGGACCAACCUAAGACACUCAGGGUGCAUCCCCGUCGAUAGAACAUAAACUUGACAAGAGCCAGGGUCUCAGAUUCAGGGAUUCAGCCCCCACCCACAGAAUCGUGCCUGGCACAUCAGAGGCUCUGCAAAAAUAUUUGUUGAACAGAUUGUUUAUGCAUUGAAUGACAACUCCACAGAUCUUUGCGUGCCUACUCUGCCAAGCUCCGUGCCAGGCAUCUGGGACAUUCCGGGAACGAGAUAAGACGCAAGUCCUGCCCGCUGCUGCUCACAGUCUGGUGGGAGGAGAGAAACAGACAAUUGCUGUGGAUGGUCAUUACCGAGGCAGGGACACACAGAGGGCCCUGGGGCACAGAGGAGGCCCUGGGUAGCGACACCAGGGUGACAGCCUGGAACAGGGUGGGCUUCAAGGGCCUAAAAUGUGUACAGUCACGAGGGGCCCUAGCUUAGCAGGGCUGCAAACUUGGUUUAAGGCUUUGCUUUGUGUCUUGAAACUAUGUAUAUAUUUUAGGCCCACAGGUAUGACGUAUGAAAGUUCCCAGGCUAGGGGUCAAAUCGGAGCUGCAGCUGCCGGCCUAUGCCACAGCCACAGCAAUGCGGGAUGCAAGCUGCAUCUGCCACCUGUGCCGCAGCUUUGUGGCAAUGAUGGAUCUUUAACCCACUGAGUGAGGCCAGGGAUCGAACCCACAUCUUCAUGGAUACUAGUGGGGUUCUUAACCUGCUGAGCCACAGCGGGAACUCCAAAAUUCUUAAUACAUUGUUUUAAAUUUAUUUAUUUAUUUUUACUUUUUAUGGCCACACCCACAGCAUGUGGAUGUUCCCAGG
rnacentral:lncRNA from 1 species